GCGCAUGUGUCGCUCUAUCCUACUAGGAACAUGGCAGCCGCCAUAGAUGACGUAUUUAGGUUAAAUGUUUCAUAUACAUAUGUUUAUUUGUAUGUGAUGUACCAAUAAAUCUUUGGUACAAAUAAAAGAAAUUGUUACAAAAUAUCAACAAAAUGAUUCGAGGUUGGCAUAGUUGUGCCAUGUAUAAAUGCCCGAAUAUUUCAAGACGAAUACCUUACCUGGGUUAAGCUUUUUUCGUUUCCCGAAGGAUGUAGAAAGAUGUAGAUUAUAGUUAAGGAAUUGCGGGCGUACAAUUAAAGUUCCAAUAGAGAACUUAUAUAAAACAUACCGGAUUUGUGGAAAUCAUUUUGAUUCUACAAUGUUUUUAAAUGAUUUAAAAAAUCGCCUCCAACUAUACGUAGUUCCAAAACCAAUGAAUCUACAAAUAAAAUCAAUCAAACGUGUACAGGUCUACAAAUAGAAAAACCAACGAAUCAACAAAUAGAUCAGUCUGUACAUGACUUUUUAUUAGAUUCUGAUAAUCACAUAUCUUUUUCAUGUAAAGAGCAGGAUGUAAACGUUAUGGAUGAAGAUAAUCGAAAGGAUCAGGAAGGAACAACUAUCUGUUACACAAGAUGAGAAAAUACAAACCGAUUCCACAUUAUCUAUUAAUUCACUCCGAAAAAAGAUAUUGAAAAAGAAAAUCCAUUUAUUACAAAAAAAAUUACAGAAAGUUAAGAAACAAUUAAAGCAACAGGAAGCAAGUUAUACAAAAAAGAUUAAGAAGCUCUCUCUACCAAUAGAAUAUUGUGAUGCAACAGAUCAAAUAUUGCCACCAUCUGUUGCGACCUUUGUGAAAGCACAAGUACACCUGGCUCAAAAGUCGCCAAAGGGUAGGAAAUUUUCUUUGGAAUUUAAAAAAAUGUGUUUUACUUUAUACUUCAGUGAACGUAAAACCCAUGAAGUUUUAUCAAAACAGUUCUGUUUGCCUAGCACAAGAACUUUACAACGUAUGAUCGAAAAUUUUGAAAUUUUUCCCGGGUUGCAAAAUAAUGUUUUUGAUAUUUUAAAAGCUAAAGUAUCUACUGUUAAAACUAAUCUUGAUAAAUAUUGUACAUUGUGUAUGGAUGAAGCUGUAUUAAAAGCACAUUUAUUUUAUAAUAUAUUAGUCAAGAUACGGUAUAUGGUUUUGAAGAUUGGGGUGAAGGAAAAUCGGCAUUGCCAGCAUGUAACGUUGCAGUUUUAAUGCUUAGAGGUAUAUGCACGAAUUGGAAACAACUUAUAGGAUAUUUUUUUCUAAAUUUCACAUUUCAUGCUACUAAAUUAAAAGAUAUAACGCAAAGUAUAAAAAAUUUGCAAGAACUUGGAUUUAUAGUUAUUGCUUUUGUAAGUGAUACGGGACAAAAUUUCAUAAAUGUAGUACAAGCAUUAAAUGUUACAACAGAGUCACCAUUUUUUGUUGUUAAUGAUCAACAAAUAGCUCAUUUCAUUGAUCCACCACGUGCUUUGAAAGCUAGUCGUAAUAAUUUUCUGAAAAAUAUUAUUAAAGAUAACGGAAAAUUUAUUUUAUAGAAAUACAUUAAAGAACUAUACGAUACAGAACAAAAUAACGAAAAUAGAUUAGCACCCAAACUAACAGAUAUACAUAUUAUGCCUACUAAUUUUCAAAGAAUGAAAGUUCGCUAUGCAACGCAAGUUUUGAGUGGAACAGUAGAUGCUGCUUUAAAUAAACUAGUAAUGUCUUGUAAUAUUUCAUAUGAAGCCCUUAUUGCAGUUAAUUUUGUUCAAAACAUGAAUGAUUUAUUUGACAUGUUCAACUCAUCUACAGUUUUCCAUAAGAUAAAAUAUAGACAAGCUUUCAGUGGUCAGGAUUAUCAAAUAGAAUUUUCGUCAAAAAUGAAAAAAUAUCUAAGUGAAUUAACAAUAUUUACAAAACAAGGAGUUAAUAUUUCGAAAAAAGUUAAAGUAUUUAAAUAUUGGUGUCAAAACAUAAAUUCCCUCUUAAAGAUGUGGGAUUACUUAUGUGUUACUGCCACAGAUAUAAAAUUUUUGUUAAUGCGUCGUUUUAAUCAAGACUCAUUGAAGAAUUUCUUUGGUAAAAUCAGAAUUAUGAAUGGUAACGCUUUUAACGCCUACACCUAUCCAAUUUUAUUACUCUUUUCAAAAACUGUUUUCUGUAAAUUACUGUGUGCCAAGAACGAGGAAUUGUCAACAAGAUAAUGAUGAAAUGUUAACGGCUAUGGUAAAUUUUGUAACGCAAUAUACGAAUAUUGUUGAAAAUGAAGUAGACGAAAGUGAAGGUGUAUCUGUACGUCUAGAUAAUCAUGAUUAUCGUCAAAUGGAUAUUAACGAACAAGAUGCGUUGCGAUACAUUUAUGGAUACCUUAUUUGUAAAUGUUUAAAAAUACAUUCAUGCGAUUUGUGUUUAAAUUACAGCAAAGAAUAUGUAGAUUUAAAUGAUACCUCAUACUAUUGUUUCUUUAGAGCGUAUAAUGCUACUAAUGAUAAUCUUUUUGGUAAUUUAUGUAUGCCAAAUAAUAAUUUUAUUGAAUAUAUUACAACUUUGGAGGACAUAUUUUUUUAAGAAAAUUGAAGAAUAUAUUUUGCAACCACUUAUCGUAAAUAAAUUGAUUCGACUUUUUAGGCAAGUCGAAUUUAUUCCUCCUUGUCCGUCUUUUCCAAAAAAUUAUUUAAUAAAACUUUAUGCUAGAGUUCGACUAUAUUAUACUAUAAAAUGUAUUAACAGGCGAUUUAAGUCACAAUACGGUCGUAAAAAAAUGGUUAUUUUGCAUCAUGACUGAAAGAUACUUUGUGUUCAUUACUAUAGGUCUAAGAUACUUUGUGUUUAUUAUUAUAUAU